UUUUCAAUCUCAAAAGAAAUCUCUCUCUCUCUCUCUCUCUAGCAAGUAGAAGCAAUAGUACACAUUUAGCCAUUCAAAUUCUAUGUAAGAAGGUUUGAUUCUUGUAAUCAUAUGGAAUUUCAAUUUCGAUCAAAGAGAGAAUCUUCAUUUCAUUCAAAUUCUCUAUAGUGCCCAUCUCUUCCUCUCUCGCUAUAAAUAUAUAAUUUAUUCUUUUUCUUUCUGGAUUUUGCUUUUAUUUUGGGAUUGAAGGAUUUUCAGAGUUAAAGUUUGGAUCUUUUAGAUUUCACGCUUUAUCCAUGGCAGGCAAAUGAAUUCCCCAUUAACGUUUCCCUUGUGCUUUUGACGCUUGUUAAAAGACGAAAGCAGAUCAAUAAAUAUGAUCAAUUGAACCAAAAGAGAGAGAUCAAAUUUCAAACUUGAUGGAAAUGGUAAGUUGUUUCUUGAUAGGUUUUCUUUGCUGUAAUGCUUGAGUUUGACUUUUGAAGCGUAAAUGCAAAAUUGAGCUGCUGUUUUUGUUAAUUGCAAAACCAUGAUUCCUCAGAAUAUUUUACAAUUAAUUGCAAAAUCUUCAAAGUCUUAUUCAUGUAUAUUGGUUUUCCUGUCUUAGAGGAUACAAUUUUAAAAAAAUAACCAAUUAUUCUCCUAAUUUUGCAAGAAGAAUCGGAUUUUUAAUAAAGAAGAUGAUUUUUCUUUUCUGGAUUUACUGAAUGCUGUUGUAACUAGCCCAUACUAGUAAAACUAUCACUUAUAGUCGUUGUUAUUGAACCAACAUUGUUUUAUUGUUGUUGGUGUGGCUGUAGAGAAAUAUAUUUGUUGGCAUUUGUCUCUUCCUUUGAAUGGUGAAUUUCUGUUCUGGGAAUGAAGGGAAUGGGAGCUGAUGGAGCAACACUUCAAUGUGGUUUUGCGGCCCAGUUUCUUUUCCUUUUGCUUUUCGAUUUCACUUUAAAGUCUCACUUCUGAUUUUAUUUUGAAGAAACCCAGUUAAGCUAAAAAUAUCAUGUUGUUUCUUUGAAUUGUGGGAUUCUUAUUUGAUUGAAAUAGGCUGGUGGGUUGGGAGUGAUUUCUGUCUUGUUUUAUUUUCUUAAAGAGUUGUCCUUAAUUUUUCAUAACUAAACACUGCUUUAUCAUUGCUAUUUAUCCAAAAUCAAUUUUGAAUCUUCUGCCCAUUUUUUUUUCAUGUGUUUUUUGGGUUCUUUUCAUGUAUUUUAUUUCAUUAUAUAUAAAUAAAUACUUUGCUUGAUAGUAAAAUUGUGGACAAAUUUAUAAAACCUAAGGAAUGAAGAAUCUAACAAUCAUCAAUUUGCCAUUCUCAUAGGGCAGGGAUAUUGUGAUUUAAUAUAUUGGUGAACUUGUCAGAUCUCUAAUAGAUGAUAAGAGAGAGCGCUUUGUAUACAAUUCAUAGAUGGUAUGUUUCUGUUGAGAAUGUUGUCAUUUCCUUACUCUUUGUAUUCAUGUAUUUGUCAUCUAGCACAACUACAAACUAUCAUCCUAAACUAAUGUGAUUAUUUCUGAGAGAUUGACUGCUUACUAUAUUGAAGUCCUCUAUAAAGCUGUUGAGAUCGAAGUUUACUCUUCCUUUUCUUGUUAAUGUAGGAUGUGUUGUGACUUGUAUGUUUAGAUCAAACUUUAUAGCAUUUGAUUAAUCACAAGGAUUGAAAGUAUUGCUCAUCUAAUUAAUCACUCAUGUGAGGUUGUAGACUUUGAGAAACUAGAUCCUUGUAUAAUGAUGAAUCCUCCCACUGUACAUAUGGUGUGCUUGUUUGUUAUUUAUAUAUCUUGCAUUCUUGCUUGGUUGAAUUCCAUAUUCAACAAUUGCAUUACUAUUUUGCUUAUUAGAUGCUAUUUCAAUACCUCAUAUAUAUGUUUGCAUAUAUACUUGAAAGAGAGGAAAACUAGUAGUGCUCUUCAUACAGUAUAGUGCUGGUUUCAAGUGAUUCCAUGUAUGUAAUUUUGCUGCCU